UACGGGGGGGGCAAGCGUUGUUCGGAAUUACUGGGCGUAAAGGGCUCGUAGGCGGCCAACUAAGUCAGACGUGAAAUCCCUCGGCUUAACCGGGGAACUGCGUCUGAUACUGGAUGGCUUGAGGUUGGGAGAGGGAUGCGGAAUUCCAGGUGUAGCGGUGAAACGCGUAGAUAUCUGGAGGAACACCGGUGGCGAAGGCGGCAUCCUGGACCAAUUCUGACGCUGAGGAGCGAAAGCCAGGGGAGCAAACGGG
rnacentral:rRNA from 1 species